rnacentral:sRNA from 1 species
GCACCUCUCCGUUGGGGAGAGGUCGAAAUCGCGCAGCGAUUUCGGGUGAGGGG